rnacentral:rRNA from 1 species
UACGGAGGGUGCAAGCGUUGUCCGGAAUCACUGGGCGUAAAGGGCGCGUAGGCGGCUCAUGAAGGCUGUGGUGAAAGUCCGGGCUCAACCUCGGAUCGGCCGUGGCGACUCGUGGCUGGAGCACUGUAGAGGCGGUGGAAUUCCGGGUGUAGCGGUGGAAUGCGUAGAUAUGCGGAGGAACAUCGAUGGCGAAGGCAAUCCCCUGGGCCUGCACUGACGCUCAUGCACGAAAGCGUGGGAGCAAACAGG